CACGUGAACAGCAAUUGGACGUGGGUUAGUCGAUCCUAAGAGAUAGGAGAAAUCCGUUGCAAGGUGGGCGUUUCGGCGCCCCUUCUAUCGAAAGGGAAUCGGGUUAAUAUUCCCGAACCAGGACGUGGAUGUUGAGUGGUAACACAAGCAAAGCCGGGGACAACGGUGGGGGCCCCGACAAGAGUUUUCUUUUCUUGUUAACAAGUGCAUCGACCCUGGAAUCGGAUUGACCGGAGAUAGGGUUGGCGGCUUGGGAAAGGCGGUUGCCUUUGGACCGCUUCGGUGCGCUCUCGACGUCCCUUGAAAACCUGGCGGCGUGUCUUAUUCGCACUCCUGGUCGUACUCAUCACCGCAUCAGGUCUCCAAGGUUAGCAGCCUCUAGUCGAUA
rnacentral:rRNA from 1 species